GCCAGGCAUGGUGGCGCAUGCUUGUAGUCCCAGCUACUUGGGAGGCUGAGGCAGGAGAAUCGCUUGAACCCAGGAGCCAGAGGUUGCAGUGAGCCGAGAUGGCACCACUGAACUCCAGCCUGAGCAACAGAGCGAGACUUUGUCUCAA
rnacentral:SRP_RNA from 1 species